GAUGAACGCUAGCGGCAGGCCUAACACAUGCAAGUCGAGGGGCAGCAUAAGAGAAGCUUGCUUCUCUGGUGGCGACCGGCGCACGGGUGCGUAACGCGUAUGCAACCUACCCUGUACUGGGGGAUAUCCCGGAGAAAUUCGGACUAACACCCCAUAGUGUAAUUGAAUGGCAUCAUUUGAUUAUUAAAGGUUACGGUACAGGAUGGGCAUGCGUCCCAUUAGCUAGUUGGUGUGGUAACGGCACACCAAGGCUACGAUGGGUAGGGGGCCUGAGAGGGUGAUCCCCCACACUGGUACUGAGACACGGACCAGACUCCUACGGGAGGCAGCAGUGAGGAAUAUUGGUCAAUGGGCGCAAGCCUGAACCAGCCAUGCCGCGUGCAGGAAGACGGUCCUAUGGAUUGUAAACUGCUUUUAUUCGGGAAUAAACCUUUCUACGUGUAGGAAGCUGAAGGUACCGAAAGAAUAAGCACCGGCUAACUCCGUG
rnacentral:rRNA from 1 species